CCCUCCCAGCAAUGGGCAAAGAGACAACUUGUUGGUGGUGUUGCUCUUAUAUCCGUCAGGAGCAGAGCAAACGGCAGUCCUUUCUUCAUCCUAGCUUGGUGCCUGGUUUGGUGGCCAAAGCUGUGUUAUAUAUACCUAGGGCUCAUAA